ACCGCCUCCGCUUCCAGCUCCCCGACAACAUCGGCAACUCGCCGGCGUCCGUCCUCGUCCUCGCGCACAACAGCUUCGGCGGGUGCCUACCGGCGAGCGUCGCCAACAUGUCCGGCACGCUCAACGAGAUCCUGCUCAUCAACAACGGCCUCACCUCCUGCUUCCCGCCGGAGAUCGGCCUGCUGCGGGAGCUCACCGUGCUCGACGUCAGCUUCAACCAGCUCGCCGGCCCGCUGCCGCCGGAGCUCGCGCUCAUGAGGAAGCUGGAGCAGCUGGACGUCGCGCACAACCUGCUCACCGGCGCCAUACCGUCGGGGAUAUGCGACCUGCCGCGCCUCAAGAACUUCACCUUCGCCUACAACUUCUUCACGGGCGAGCCGCCGGCGUGCGCGCGCGUCGUGCCGCGGGACAGCGACCGGAGCAACUGCCUGCCCGACCGCCCCGCGCAGCGGACGCCGCAGCAGUGCGCCGCGUUCUACGCCCGCCCACCUGUUAACUGCGCCGCGUUCCACUGCAAGCCGUUCGUCCCGCCCAUGCCGCCGCCGCGGCUCCCAUCACCUCCCCCGCCGAUGCUCCCAUCGCCACCGCCGCCUCGGCUUCCAUCACCUCCCCCACCGAUGCUCCCACCACCGCCGCCACCGCAGCUGCCGCCCCCGCCUAUGCUCCCACCACCGCCACCGCCUUUGCCACCUCCACCAUCACCACCUCCGCCACUUCCGCCAUCACCACCUCCGCCGUCGCCACCGCUGCCCUCGCCACCGCCACCUCCACUGUUGCCGUCACCACCACCACCAUCACCGCUGCCCUCACCACCGCCACCUCCACUGCUGCCGUCACCACCACCACCAUCACCACGGCCGCGUUCCCCACCUCCACCAUCCUCGCCCCCUCCGGCACCAGUCUACCACCCACCACCACAGUGCCCGCCAUGCCCCGUUCUGCC
rnacentral:lncRNA from 1 species